GACGAACGCUGGCGGCGUGCUUAACACAUGCAAGUCGAACGGUGAAGCGCCUUCCUUUUUGGUGGGUGUGGAUGAGUGGCGAACGGGUGAGUAACACGUGAGUAACCUGCCCCCUUCUUCUGGAUAACCGCAUGAAAGUGUGGCUAAUACGGGAUAUUCUGGGUCUGUCGCAUGAUGGGUCUGGGAAAGAUAUUGUUUCGGUGGGGGAUGGGCUCGCGGCCUAUCAGCUUGUUGGUGGGGUGAUGGCCUACCAAGGCGGUGACGGGUAGCCGGCCUGAGAGGGUGGGCGGUCACACUGGGACUGAGACACGGCCCAGACUCCUACGGGAGGCAGCAGUGGGGAAUAUUGCACAAUGGGCGCAAGCCUGAUGCAGCGACGCCGCGUGAGGGAUGGAGGCCUGCGGGUUGUGAACCUCUUUCGCCAGUGAAGCAGGCCUGCCUCGUUUGUGGGUGGGUUGACGGUAGCUGGAUAAGAAGCGCCGGCUAACUACGUG
rnacentral:rRNA from 1 species